GACGAACGCUGGCGGCGUGCUUAACACAUGCAAGUCGAACGGAAAGGCCCUGCUUUUGUGGGGUGCUCGAGUGGCGAACGGGUGAGUAACACGUGAGUAACCUGCCCUUGACUUUGGGAUAACUUCAGGAAACUGGGGCUAAUACCGGAUAGGAGCUCCUGCUGCAUGGUGGGGGUUGGAAAGUUUCGGCGGUUGGGGAUGGACUCGCGGCUUAUCAGCUUGUUGGUGGGGUAGUGGCUUACCAAGGCUUUGACGGGUAGCCGGCCUGAGAGGGUGACCGGCCACAUUGGGACUGAGAUACGGCCCAGACUCCUACGGGAGGCAGCAGUGGGGAAUAUUGCACAGUGGGCGGAAGCCUGAUGCAGCAACGCCGCGUGCGGGAUGACGGCCUUCGGGUUGUAAACCGCUUUCGCCUGUAACGAAGCGUGAGUGACGGUAAUGGGUAAAGAAGCACCGGCUAACUACGUG
rnacentral:rRNA from 1 species